AACGAACGCUGGCGGCAGGCUUAACACAUGCAAGUCGAGCGGAGAGAAGUAGCUUGCUACUGAUCUUAGCGGCGGACGGGUGAGUAAUGCUUAGGAAUCUGCCUAUUAGUGGGGGACAACAUUUCGAAAGGAAUGCUAAUACCGCAUACGUCCUACGGGAGAAAGCAGGGGAUCUUCGGACCUUGCGCUAAUAGAUGAGCCUAAGUCGGAUUAGCUAGUUGGUGGGGUAAAGGCCUACCAAGGCGACGAUCUGUAGCGGGUCUGAGAGGAUGAUCCGCCACACUGGGACUGAGACACGGCCCAGACUCCUACGGGAGGCAGCAGUGGGGAAUAUUGGACAAUGGGCGGAAGCCUGAUCCAGCCAUGCCGCGUGUGUGAAGAAGGCCUUAUGGUUGUAAAGCACUUUAAGCGAGGAGGAGGCUACUUUAGUUAAUACCUAGAGAUAGUGGACGUUACUCGCAGAAUAAGCACCGGCUAACUCUGUGCCAGCCGCCGCGGUAACAC
rnacentral:rRNA from 1 species